UUCCACCGCGUCGCCGCCCCGCACACAACCUCCUGGUUGCCGGUCGCGUCGCCGCCCCUUGCCCAACCUCCUAGCCGCCGGCGCCAUGGCCGCGCCACCGCUUCGCAAGCCUCCGUCGCUCCCAUCUCCUCCUGAUCUCGUCAUCAAGCUCCCCGACCACUCUCUGCAGUCAUAGGCUCCGGCCGCCACUCUGUUUCCCAUCUCUCCCAGCUCCGGUCUACCAGCGAACCACCUACACCCAUAGCCACAGGUCGCUGACGUGACCCACUUCUUCUGCCGCAGCGUCCCUGAUGUCCAUCUCCAGCGCGACAACCACCAAGCUGACGUGCCCUCCGUUCACUGCCGCCACCCUGCAUCGUUCAACGACACAGCGCCAAGCCGUUCGAUGCCGCAGCUCGGGAGGUGCCCAUCUCAACCGUUCCACAUCUCCCCCUGGACGUUCAUGCUCCUCUGGUGUACAUUCAGUUCAUGUUGUAGCUAUGGUCAUUCUAUUAUGAUUUUCAGCUCAUCUUGUGUGGUUUCUUUCUUCAGCCCCAAGUGGCAAAUUUGUUCUGUAGCAUAUGGUAUCAUUGAGCUGCACUUGUGUGUACUGUCCCUCUUCCCCUGCCUCCUCAAGCGCCGCUGCUGUCUUGUGCUUGUUGUUCGACAAGUGUUUGUCUUAAUGCUUAGAGAAGAGACUUGUUUUCUGUACUAAACUCAUUAUUAGUUUGGUGUGUAUUAUCUCGUCAGUUCAUGAAAAAACACAGAAUAGUUGGGUGCGUGUGCAAAAAUAUCAUAAAAUUAUGUAAGUUUAGAUAUAUCACCUAAAAUAAAUUCAAAGAAAAAUUAUGUAAGUUCAAUCUGUGUGCUGCUACAAGUUUGCACUUCUUGUCCAGUCGUACUAGUACUGAUGAAUAACGAGUUGAUUGAAACAUGUAGGGGUUGAAGUAAACCCUCACGAUAUAACUAUUACUGAUAUAUGUGCUCCGCCUGCACAUUUUUUCGUAAGUUCUAGAAUUCAUAGAGCUUCAGUCCAUCUAUGUUGCUUCUGCGAUAACUUACUGCCGCUCGUGCUCUCCGCCUCCAUCAGCUCCACCUCGCCGGAGCAAUCAGUCCAGAGGAGGAGGUGUAGCUGGUCCACCCGAUCUCCGACGUCUUAUUCCACCUCCAAAAAAUUUCUUUUACACAUAAUUCAUACUAACAUGUAAGUUAUCUCUGAAGCACUCUGUGCAGGAAAUUAUCUCAUGAGUUGUGUGUAGCGUUUGUGCCUGGUGGUGGCCAGUUUUGUGUGCUUCAAACAUGCUUCAAAUUCUUUUCUAAACAAAUUAUUAGUAUGACAAAAGAUUUUUUUUGUUAUUUUGCUGCACAACCAUGGAAGUUUAGAAUACAUCAGCAGUCUAUGUGCGUCCAGAGAGGUGAUUUUUUGUGCUCGACUAAUGCAAACCUUUUUUUGUGCUACUUAGUAGUUUAUGUAAAUGCUAGUGAGAUGAAUAGCUAUAGAAGUGGUUUGUGCUGAUAAUGCACGGCCCAUAUUUUUCUUAAUGGAUACUUCUGCAGAACGCUCGAGCCACAACAGCUCCCAGGCCGUUCACCGUCGGCACCAUAGUCCGUUCACCGACGCAACGAUGAGGUCUGGCCGUCGUUACCCAUGACCGCGCACUCGCAUCUCUCCAGCUUCAAGUAGUGUCCUCCUCUAGCUGCAGGUCGCGUUCUCCUCCAGCCGCAGGCCAAUGCUAUGAUGCACAUUCAAGGCAGCAAGCACACCACAGGUCGCAGCGCCGCCGUCGACCACAUGUGCGCAUCCGUGCGAUUGAUGCGUGUGUGCUUUAGGCACCGACCUCCUCUGGUUGGGCCACACCACCACCGGCCGGUCCACAAUGGUUGCUGGCAGCCGUCCAAGUUGAGAGCUGAUGGUAGUUCAUGUAAAAAAAGAAGAAGCAAAAAAACAGUGAUUCAGUAUGUAUUAUAUGUCCAAAUUAUUUUAAUUCAGCACAGGGCUUCCAAACAUGGUUCAGUUUCAGCACAAAAGCUCGGUUCAACAAAACCCAUGCCGGCUUGGAUAUAUUUUUGUAAUCCAACAGAUGUGAAUGCUAGUCUUCUUACCGACUUACCACUUAAUAAGUUAUUGGACUGACCAAAACCUUCUGUAGUACUAGUUGACAUCUACUAUUCAAGAUCAAUUUUGAGCUAUAAGUUCCAUUUUUCUUCCUUCCCGUUUUGAUACAUAUUUAGGAAUUACCUUUGUUAACUUUGGCAUCCCCCGACGCCUCGCGCCCCCGGAGAGGCCACACGCUGAAUCCGGUAGGGCAAUGCUGUUGACACCGACGCCGUAGUCCUCCGGUGUCACCCUUCCCGUCCCUGUCCAGGUAUAGGACUGACACCAGUCCAGCUCUUCCUCGCUUCUCCGUCCAAGCUCCUCGUGCCAUGCUUGAUGGUCAUUUCAUCAUUAUAAAACAUAAAUUUCUUUCAGUUCUGAACGUGGACAGUUCUAGGAACAUUGUUGUGCAGACCAAAAGUGUGUGACGGAUGUUCUCUUCACAAAUUUUGUGUUUUGGAGUAAAUCAACAUAGAUUGUUGACACGGUAGCUUCUAAUUUUUUGCACUGGAUUUGGAGAUAUGAACAAUGAUUUAUUUUGAUCAGUAUUUGGCUGUGUGAUAUUUUUGAAACCAGGACGACCUCGUCCUUCGUCUGCUUCUCUUUUCCAGCUGCAUCCAGGACGACCUGGACUUGCUGCCACUAGCUGUUGGUGCACCUCUUGUUAGCUCCUAGCUGUUACCGAGUGUGCUUGAUGCUACUGCUACAAAGAAGGUCGAAGGAGCUCCCUUCAGUUCAAUGGAUUCAACAAAAAAUAAUCCCUGCUGCCACUGCAUCUUGAGUUCAAGGGAUUCCUUAGGGGCCUUCUACACCAUCUUGCUAAUGAUGCCAUCGCUGGAUGCCACAGCCAUGCUCGUCAUUCUUGUGCUGCCAUUAACAUACUGCUCCCUGUUUUACUGAUUAGGCUGUUCAAUGAGGGGUCGUUCAAAAAGCAGCGGUCAGAAGCUUUCCUUUCGUUUUCUUCCACCUCUGUAAUAUUUUUUUUCGAUUUUGGGGACUGGGUGAGUGGAUUUCACCGAGGCCUUCCAUGUGCUGAUGGGUGUGCUUGCUUAGCACAAAGUUGAAUAUUCUUGAUCAAAUGUGAUAUGUAUAACUUAAAGGGAAAAGAUGAAUUGUGUUUCCUCGUAGCAAAAAAUUGAUGCUCUAUCGGUGCAUACUAGUAUAUCAGUUCCUCAUGUAUAUCUGUCAUCAGUUCAUAAAAGGCAUAUAGAAAGUCAUUCAAAUCUGUGUGUUAAAAACCCAGUUUGGUUUUGUAUCAGCUGCUCCGAGGAAUGAAGUACAUCCAUGCAGGUGAUUACUGAUUAGGCUCCACAAAGGGAAGUGAUAAUGCUUCAUUUGAGUUUUUUCAUCUGAUGUUGCUGUACUGAUUGUUUGCUUACAUGAUGGUUUUGCAGCAAAUGUUUUCCAUCAAGAUCUGAAGCCCAAGAAUAUUCUAGCGAAUGUUGACUGCAAGCUGAAGAUUUGUGAUUUUGGACUUGCCCUUGUAUCAUUUAAUGAUGGGGCUCCAUCAUCCAUAUUCAGAAGUUUGAUUUUGUGAAGAAGUAUGCAAAUUCUCAGUGCAGGUGUGGAGAACCAAAAAGUUCUAAUAAUGGUGAAUCACAAGUUCAAGGACAGUAAUCCGGGGGCGUGGGGGCACUGCUGAUGGAGGCCGAGUCAAAGUGUCGUGACUGCUGCUGCAGAUCUUCAUCACGGACUUUGAUGGAGAUACUCCUCUGGUGAGUCCUACUUCCACAAAGAUAGGAGUGAUAUUUGAUGGGACAUGGCCAGAUGCUGAUGCUGGACUAGUAAAUUUAGUGAAAAACUAUUUUGUGCUGAAAGAACAACUAUGCUUUGUCGGACAAGCACGACAUGAGGUAAUGGAAAGCUCCAGACCCACCUACAAUGUAUUUUGUCCUGAGAAAAAAAUACACAAGAGUGCUAUGUUUUAUCUUUGGUGGUAUGGUACUCACAACCUGUUUGAUAAUAUGUCUACAGAGAAAUGAAUAUCUUGUUACAAGUUUCUCUAUUGUUAAGUGAAGUUGUACUUAUACAUGUACUGUUCAAUCUCUAUGUCGUAGCAGUAUAGGCAACAAAAUUAUAGUCGGAUAUAUGGAUUUUAUAGUUAUGGGAUGUCCAAAUAAAAUAGUAUACACGUGUGAUGUCGUUUAUAUGAUUUUGUAAAGAAGAUCUAUAUGUGUAAGUUAUCUGAUAAAAGAAAGAAGAAAAUCAACUGGCAAAUUUAGGGAAACAUGUGUACCUUGAGAAAAGUUCACAAAAUAAAUGCUAGGAGGUUCAUUUCGUGUUCGUUUAAAUGUCUUCAGUGCAAGUGUGGAUGGCCGGUAAGUUCUACUCAAAAGUUCAUAUAUACUUGCAGAAAACAUGAUGCUCUUUAGGUGUUUGUUGUUAAUGCAGAAAACAGUUUUUAAUACCGAAGAACAACCCUAGCGAGAAGUUCAUGUUUAGAAAGUUGGUAGGUUCAUACAGAGAAACUUAACAAAUAUUAUCCAUUUUAGUAUUGAUCGAGUAUCAUAUAUGCUUCAGUUCUAGAUACUUUGUUCAUUAUGAUCAGGGAUAAUACAAAAGCAUAUCCUUCAGUUCUGCAGAUAUUUUACAACUUCUCUGAACAUGCGUCCACCGACGUGCUCGGUGCCAUCCACAACUUCAUCGUGUGCGAGCUUCUAUUCCAGAUCCUCUUCCUCCAUGGUCCAUGCCCACCGCGACGACCAGGUCUGCAACCGAAACUGAAGCAUAGUGUUUUUGGAACCAAACUGAAGCAACGCAACAAGAAGUACAGAAACUUGGGCUGAUGUACCUUGUCCUGAAGCUCCUAUACCCACUUCUUUGCCUGGAUGUAGGAAUCUGAUAGAAAAAAACAAGGUGUGUCCCUCUACAUAUUCAAGAGGAAAAAUUGAUUGCUGAAAAAUGCUUGUGUUUAUGAAAUUUAAUUUUGCCAUAUGUUUCUUAUUUUUAGUUCAGUCCAGUAUCUAAUUUUAGUUCAGUUCAAUUAUUAUUUGGGAUUAAGUUCAAGUCAAUUCUUAUUUUAUUUUAUCGUCUUGUGCUUCCAUCCAUUCCGUGGUCUAGAGCAGCUAUCGAGGUGUUAAUUUGUGUCUUCUGACUUGUGCAGUUUGAUUUCUUGGCACACUGUCUUGUCCAUGUGUGUGGCAUUAAUCAACCAUCUAAAGGAGAAAGGUGUUCUAGAUUAAAUUCAUCUAUUUGUCAGUGCGAGUUAUAUUCUUUUUUGUUAGGCUUCAAGUUCAACUAUGGGUUUGUUUGGACUUGCAAAAUUCAGUUGACAACCACUACUGUGCAAUGAUAUGUGUUUGCUAUGAUUGGUGUUUCCUACCCAUUCUGUUACUAGGGUCAAUAAUGCAUAUCAAUGAACAUGCUUUUUGUACCUUGUCAUUCCCUACUGUGCAACCAUCUUUUUAAUGUUCUUGCAUACAACAUUUUGCAUUGCCUUUUCUGUGGACAAGGGCAUAUACACAUGAUACUCAGUUCAAAAGUUCGAUGACAAAAAUAUAUUCAGUUCAAAAGCAUGGAGCUGCUGAUGCUGUAGCGAUGUUGUGCAUGGCCACAAGGAUCUAGUUCUCACAGAAAAUACAUCAGUUCAAAAGAAAAAAGAGUUGUUACAAAUCUAAAUUUAGAUAUAUCAUCAGUACUAGUAUCAGCACCAUGGCUACCCAUUCAAGUAAUCACAAAGACCAUCAUGGAUGACGACAGGCCUACAGCAGCUAUGGUUUUAGUCAAGUGUUUCAGAAAUGUGCAGUGGGUACUACUUUGUAUCCUUCACUCUUUGUCAGGGGAAGGUGACUAAAGCUCCAUAUUGCAAUUUCACUAGACUAUCCAGAUUUCAUUUAGUGUUUAAAAUUAAAUACUUUCUUGUCCAGUCAUAUACUAGUACUGAUGAAUAUCCAGUUGACAUUGUGCUCUGUCAUAGGCUUGCCCUUUCUCUCUCCCUUUGGUUCAUGGAGCAGCAACUGUUGGCCUGCAGUGCCGCCAUCUGAAGACAGGGGAGAUGGCCGUAAUUCCCUUAUGGUAAUUAAUAUGCAGGUGCGGAACCUCCCGAGCGCAUGGCAGCCUCCUCCAACCAAGUUGAGCACUGGGCGCUGUCCGAGUAGAGCAUUGCGCCCCGUCCAAGUUCCCAUCUAAUGUUGAACGUUGAAUUUUGUCAUGUUGAAUAAUAUGCCACUUGAGUGCUAUUGACAGUCAGUUACUUCUUCCUUUCAUGCUGCACAUGUGAACUGAAAAAUGUAGAAAUGAGAAUUUAGUAUGUUUUGGAGAGCUUAAUUUCCCAAGUGGCAAAUUUGAUCUGUACCAGUAAGUACAUGAUUAAUAUUUUAGGA